CUAGGAUUAAAUGUCCAAGACCAUGACUUUAAGUCCUGCACCUUAAGAAAGAAAGUCGCUUUUCCCCUCUGUCUUGAGUUGGGAUCUGUAAGACUUGGCUCACAAGGCUGCAGGAUGGUUAAGCAGCACAAGUUAGGCACAUGGUGAAUAAACAGAAGAUUCUUUCCUUUCCUUCCUGAUCCAUGCAACACCUCACACAUUUUCUAUCUCCCGUGAUCCUCGUCACAGUUCUGUGGGGUGUGUGACAUGGAUGUCACCCUCACUCAAUGGAGGAGGAAAUGGAGACCCGGAAACAGGAAGAAACAAGUCCACACUAGGGCUUUGUACCCAGCAGUCAGCUCUUCCAGCUGACCCCUCGGAGCGGAGACCCUGACUAUGCCUCCUCCACACAGCAGAGUGACAGAGCAGGAAGCUGGCCAUGGAGAACUUGGUCUCUGGAGCCAGGCAGCCUGGGUACAAGGAAGCAAGAAUCUCAGAAUCCAGCCCCAGUUGGAAGAGACCUUGGGGGGUAAACUCAGGUUCAAGUCUUGGGUCUUCAUCCCUUGUCUUUGACCUUAAAGCCCCAAGGGGCUGGGGAUUUAGCUCAGUAGUUUCACUACCUGCUGCACAAGUGCAAGGACCCGAGUUCGAUCCCCAGUACCAAAAAAAAAAAAAAAGCUUAGCCCCUUUGACCUUCAGGUUAUUCCUCUCCCAGAAGGACGAUGGCCAACACCUCCACAGCAAUCCUUUGCUCUCACCUAAUGCUUUUCACCACCAAAUGGGUUUCCCAUCAAUAUCUCAUUUAAAUAUGCCAGGCCUGGCCACCAAGGUCAGGGUGAGCAUAGACUACUGGCUGUCUCUGAUGCCAUGAGCUGGCAUCUGGCCACCCUACAUCCACCGUGGAGAGGCCAGAAACCCCUGUGAGAUCGGAACAGAGAAUCCAGGGAGAGGAAGCCGCCUGCAAUCGGGUGUGCUGGCUGGGGGUGAGCAGCCACCCAGGUAUCCCAAGGAGACAGCUUGGUCCCAGACAGGUGACCUGUGGUGUCAGCCCCUCUUCUUGUGCACAGGUGCUGCUUGGCUUGGGGGUGACUCUUCACUGCCCUUGAGAUUGGGUGCUAAUCCUUCACUUCAUGCCUGGAAGUUUUAAUAAGAACAUAG
rnacentral:lncRNA from 1 species